rnacentral:lncRNA from 1 species
AGGUAGAACGGAAAUUGCAACAACAAAAUUCUAAUUCUAAUAGAAUACUAAGUAAACUCUAAUUAGACCAUAAUAAUUCUAAGCAAGCUUUAAGCAAAUUCAAAGAAACUGCAAAGAAAUUUCAAAGAAAUAAUAAAAAAUCUUAAAGAAAUAUUAAAAUGAUUACAAAUAUCUCUCAAAUACAUGUCAAUUCAAUUUUAAUUUAAUUCUAGUUAAAAUCCUAUUGGACUUCAUUCAAACUUUAGGCCAAAACUAAAUAAAUCUUAAAUCCUAAAAAAAUCCUAAUAAAAUCCUAAACCCUAAAUCAAACCCUAAAUCCUAAACCAAAUCCUAAACCAAAUUCUAUCCAAAUCUUAAAUCAAAUCCUAACCAAAUCCUAAACCCUAAAUCAAACCCUAACCAAACUCUAAAUCUUAAAUCAAAUCCUAAAUCCUAAACCAAAUCCUAAACAAAUCUUAAACCAAAUCCCAAUGAAAUCCUAAAAUAAAACCUAAACCCUAAAUAAAACCCUAACCAAACUCUAAAUCCUAAA